GCGAGAGUUUGCGGCUACCUCCCCAAGAGGCAGUCCCAGGGUUAUUGUGACCUAUGAUGUUUAUUCAACUACUGUUGACGGGCUGCUGUGCACAGGUACGGAGUGCACAGGGAACCUAGUAGGCAAGACCCCUGCCAUCGUGCAGCUUACUCUCAGGUUCACACAGACCUUAAGGUAAACGGAAAAAGUAUCAGGAAAAAAAACAGGGUGCUUGCGAUUUAGGAGAUGUUAAGACCGCUUGGAGGACCCCAAUUUAAAUAAGAUAAAGAAAGUAGGUUUUCUCCGAGUAGGUGAACUGAAAAUGAACUGUGUCUGUGGUUGCUGUUUUGUAGAAAGAACAAAAUUUUAAAUAAAUUAAAAACGACACCUGUAAUUUGAGAAGAUGCUUGAUAUCAGAAAAGGAGAAGAGUGGAGAGGGGUGGAUUGGCAAAGGAGAGCCUCCAAACCAAAAGCCUGCGUGCAGAGACCCUAGGAGGCAAAAUGAAGGAACAAGACAGCAAAGAGUGUGACUGGCCCCAUGGAAAGGAAGUUGUAUCCUAUCCUGGGGACUCUGUCCAGAUGUUCCAGGUGGUGACAAACAGCAACAUAAUAUAGUGGUUUAUGCAGACUUCUCCACACACGUGAGGAGCCAGCUUGGAAGUUCAAAGGGUUUGAUUAAUGGGGUCUUGCUUUUUGCCCAGGCUGGUCUUGAGCUCCUGGACUCAAGUGAUUCUCCUGCCUUAGCCUGCCAAAGUGCUGGAAUUACAGGCCCAUACAUUGUGAAAUAUCAGAACAUUAGAGACAAAGAGAUAAUGUUCUAAGUGUCUGGAGAGAGAGAAAAAACAGGCCAUGUACAAGGAAUGAUAAUAAAAAUGACUCUGGGCUUCUCAGCAACAUUUGAAGGAAGAAGACAAUGGAAGAGUGUCUUCAGUGUGAUGGAAAAUGCCUUCCAACCUAGAAAUCCUAUAACCAACCAAACUGGCAAUGUGAAGAUUGACUAUAGACACUUGUAACACCUGAACAAAAUUAGGCCAGGCGCGGUGGCUCACACCUGUAAUCCCAGCACUUUGGGAGGCCAAGGCGGGCGGAUCACUUGAGGUCAGGAGUUCGAGACCAGCCUGGCCAACAUGGUGAAACCCUGUCUUUACUAAAAAUAUGAAAAUUAGCCAGAUGUGGUAGUGGGUGCCUGUAAUCCCAGCUACUUGGGAGGCUGAGGCAGGAGAAUUGCUUGAACCCAGGAGGCAGAGGUUGCAGUGAGCCAAGAUCACGCCUCUGCACUCCAGCCUGAGCGACAGAGAUUCCGUCUCAAAAAAAAAAACUGAAAAAAUUAUCAUUUAUAUUGAUUUUCUUUGCUGCUAUAACAAAUUGCUACAAACUUAGUGGCUUAAGACAACACAAAUUUAUUCUCUUACAGUUCUUGAUUCCUAAAUCAAGAUGUUAGCAGGACUGUUUACCUUCCAGAGGCUCUAGAGGAGAAUCCAUUUCCUUACCUUCCUUGCUGCCAGAGGCUGCUUGCGUUCCUUGUCUUGUGGUCUCUUCCUUCAUACAUCCAUAUUUAAAACCAGCACAUCUCUCUCUUCUAUCUCUCGCUGUCUCUUUCUCUCAUGCAUACAUACACAUGCACACAUAUACCUCCUACUAUCCUAUUAUAUAGACCUUCAUUACUACCUGUGACUACCCAAAUAAUCCAGGAUAAUCUCCCAAUUUAAACAUUCUUAAUGUGAUCACAUCUUCAAAGUCUCUUUUGCCAUUUAAGGCAACAUAUUCACAAGUUUUAGAGAUUAGAAUGUGGACAUUUUAGGGAACCAGUAUUCUGUCUACUACAUCACACAAUCACAUUGCCUGUACUAAGAUGAGAGAGUCAUCUGAGAAAGAAGAAAAUACGGAAUAUAGAAAAUAAGAGAUUCAACACAGAGAAAAGGAAAAGACUCUCCAUGCUGGUGGUGAAGUUGUGAUAUUCAAAUGACAACUGCACAGCAGUCCUGAUUGGGGCAGUGUGGUAUGAGAGAGAGCCAUGUCAACCGCUGUCCUUACCAUGUUUCUGCCAUUGUAACAUACUUUUAACUUGAUGGAUAUGCUUCACCAAAUAGGGGAUAAAUCUAAAUGUAGAAAGACAGAUUAAGGACCCAGGGAAUCUAACUAGAACCCAUAAGGCUAGAUAACAAAAACAAAAACCAACAGAAAUAAAUGAUGUCAAACAGCCCUGAAAGAAUCCAGAUAUUGGAAUUAUUAAACACAAAUAAUAAAACAACUAUAUUUACUAUGUUAAAGGACACAAAAAUUAUGCUUGAAAAUUUCAACAGGAAGCUGGAAACUAUAACUAGCAACAGAGCAUGUUUUAAAAAGAAUCUGAUUGGAUUUGACAAUGGAAAGAAACCAUAAAUCAAGUUUAAGAUAAGUGAAUGGGUUUCCAGCAGAUAGCAAACUGGAAGAUAUAUUGAAAACACAAUCAUAAAACACUGCGACACUGCUGGGAAUUAUAUUCGCAUAUAUGUAAUAAUGUAAACACUGAUUAUUGAUUUGACCAACUAUUGUAAUAUAACUAUAUUGAGAAUUUAAGGAUAGCAGAAGACAGAAUGACAUUGUAAGACAGAUAAAUUCUCAUCUACUACAAUAUGAAGCUGAUAGAUAAUAGCUAAAGGUAGUAUAUGCCUGUUACUUACAAAUUAGGUAGAGGUGUAAAUGCCAGAGAGAGCUAAAAGCAUAAAAAAAUAGUUGUCUCUAGGAAGGAAGGAAGAAAGUAGAGAGGAAUGGGGAAGGGAAAUGCUGCAUUUUAUCAUAACCUUUUUGGUACUACUUAACCUUUUAAAAUAUGUAUGUAUUAUUUUAACAAAAUAAAAUUAAAAUUGAAAAAUAAAGAUUAAAAACGCUGUAGGACUGGGUGCGAUCAUAAGGUAGACAGUUAAAAAAAAAAAAAGCACCAAUAUAUAAGCCUAGGUCCCUCCAAUAUUUAGAGGUCAGGUAAACGAAGAGGAACCAGCAAAGGAGACAGAGCAGCCGGAACCAUAGGAGGAGAACCAUAAGAGAAUGGUGUCCUGGAGUCCAAAGUAUAGAAAAUAUUUCAAAAAAGAGAGAAUGAUCAAUCACGCAAAGUGCUGUUAGGAAGAAUGAAAUUUGAUUAUUAAAUUUGCUAUCAUUAAGGUCAACCUUCAAGAGCAAUUUUGGUGGAAUGAAAGCCUAAUCUAAGUGGGCCGAAGAGAGUAUGAGGGUGGAAAGUAAAGAUGGCAGGAAUAGCAACUCUAUGGUAAGGAAAGGAGAAUAGAAACCAGUGAGUCAAAAGAGGGUUUUGUCUGUGUAAGGUGAGCCUGUGUGUACGGUUUCAAUUUAUUUUAUUUGUUUUUUUUGAGAUGGAGUCUUGCU